CUCAAAGAUUUUUAUCUGAAAAAAGACCAGUGGUAAUAGAUAGAGCUCCUCAACGGCAAAAGAAACUGGAAGUGGGAAGUGCUCGGUUACAUAUGCUGCCUCUCUUUAAAUGUUUUCACCUAGCAGGAAAUGAGAAAGUAGCUUAAUAUUUGUAUUCAUGAGUGCUCUGAUAUAUUUGUCUGAAUCUGCUUUAUCUUAACUGUCAGCAAACUGCUAAGCAAGGUCAUGAUUGUAUUCACCAGUAAUUCGGAAGUGAGCAAUCAGAAUUGACUUCUUACAUGUAAUUAUGCCCAGGAUAUAUAUUUAAGUUAUCUGUAAUGUUCCUUCUAUAGCUGCAAUUCCACCUCACAUGCUGUAUCUCUUCCUGCAGACCCUUUGGUAACUGACAGAGGGAGACUGGUUGGAACAAUGAUCAAGAAAAGAAUAAGCAGCUAAACUAAACUGGAACUUUAAAAAUAAUUUGCACUUUCCUCACGUCCUUUGUUUGCCCUUUGGCCAGCAGUGGUUCUUCCAGAAUGUUUUACGUUGUGAAGUACCUCUGGAAGCCAUCUGGUCCCUUCUCCUUUCUCAGGGACACAGAAGAUCCUGAAGUUUCCAAAGUAGAAGCAGAGACUACUACACAAACUGCUGUCUGUCAGCUGCUCUGUUAGCUACAUUCUGAAGGUGAAAGAGAGGAACAGAUUUUAAAAAAAAAGGUCAGAGAAGAGAGAGUCAUGGAAAACAAUGUCAGAUGGAGGAAAAAAAGGUCAUAGAAGAGAAAACCAGGGAGGAUAAAACUAGUGAAGGAUGGAGAAGAGAAACGGUCAGAGAGGAGAAGUCAGAAAAAAGCUGUUCCAAGAACAAUAAAAAUAUAAGUGAGAGACAAGAUGCAGGAAAAGAAGAGGUCAUAGAAUGUCAGAGAAGUUCAGAAAAGUUCAGAAUAUCAGAGAAGGACAAGAAAGUUUGUAAAAGCUCAGAAGUUGUCAGAGCAAGUUAGACCUUGCCAAAGAGGAGAUCAGACAGGGCAAGGCAAGGCAAGGCAGCAAAAGGAAAGGCAACCCUUUGGAUUGUUUAUGCCCUUCUGUGUGUGUCCAUCCAACAGAUGUGUGAGGACCAGGGCCAGCACAGAUGCACAGACUGGCACACCUCCUGCAGGACAGGGCAUUUCUUCUAUCCACAGAGAGGCCCAAGUGCUCUCCCAGGAGCCUGCAGAGCUCCACCUGCCAACAGAAGCGCUGUCUGAACCAAUGUCUGCAUCCCAG
ensembl:lncRNA